AGUUAGUGGCGGACGGGUGAGUAACACGUGGGAACGUGCCUUUAGGUUCGGAAUAACUCAGGGAAACUUGUGCUAAUACCGAAUGUGCCCUUCGGGGGAAAGAUUUAUCGCCUUUAGAGCGGCCCGCGUCUGAUUAGCUAGUUGGUGAGGUAAAGGCUCACCAAGGCGACGAUCAGUAGCUGGUCUGAGAGGAUGAUCAGCCACAUUGGGACUGAGACACGGCCCAAACUCCUACGGGAGGCAGCAGUGGGGAAUCUUGCGCAAUGGGCGAAAGCCUGACGCAGCCAUGCCGCGUGAAUGAUGAAGGUCUUAGGAUUGUAAAAUUCUUUCACCGGGGACGAUAAUGACGGUACCCGGAGAAGAAGCCCCGGCUAACUUCGUGCCAGCAGCCGCGGUAAUACGAAGGGGGCUAGCGUUGCUCGGAAUUACUGGGCGUAAAGGGAGCGUAGGCGGACAUUUAAGUCAGGGGUGAAAUCCCGGGGCUCAACCUCGGAAUUGCCUUUGAUACUGGGUGUCUUGAGUAUGAGAGAGGUGUGUGGAACUCCGAGUGUAGAGGUGAAAUUCGUAGAUAUUCGGAAGAACACCAGUGGCGAAGGCGACACACUGGCUCAUUACUGACGCUGAGGCUCGAAAGCGUGGGGAGCAAACAGGAUUAGAUACCCUGGUAGUCCACGCCGUAAACGAUGAUUGCUAGUUGUCGGGAUGCAUGCAUUUCG
rnacentral:rRNA from 1 species